rnacentral:tRNA from 1 species
UGGGCUGUGGCUCAGUGGUGGAGCACUUGCCUAGCAAGAUCCAGGCCCUGGGUUCCCUCCCCAGCACCCCAG